rnacentral:rRNA from 1 species
UACGGAGGGUGCAAGCGUUAAUCGGAAUUACUGGGCGUAAAGCGCACGCAGGCGGUUUGUUAAGUCAGAUGUGAAAUCCCCGGGCUCAACCUGGGAAAGGCAUCUAAGACUGGUUAGCUAGAGUCUUGUAGAGGGGGGUAGAAUUCCAUGUGUAGCGGUGAAAUGCGUAGAUAUGUGGAGGAAUACCGAUGGCGAAGGCAGCACCCUGGAAUAACACUGACGUUCAUGCCCGAAAGCGUGGGGAGCAAAAAGG